rnacentral:rRNA from 1 species
UACGUAGGGUGCAAGCGUUAAUCGGAAUUACUGGGCGUAAAGCGUGCGCAGGCGGUGAUGUAAGACAGGUGUGAAAUCCCCGGGCUUAACCUGGGAACUGCAUUUGUGACUGCAUCGCUGGAGUGCGGCAGAGGGGGAUGGAAUUCCGCGUGUAGCAGUGAAAUGCGUAGAUAUGCGGAGGAACACCGGUGGCGAAGGCGGCAUCCUGGACCGGUAUUGACGCUGAGGCGCGAAAGCCAGGGGAGCAAACGGG